AGAGUUUGAUCCUGGCUCAGGACGAACGCUGGCGGCGUGCCUAAUACAUGCAAGUAGAACGCUGAAGAGAGGAGCUUGCUCUUCUUGGAUGAGUUGCGAACGGGUGAGUAACGCGUAGGUAACCUGCCUUGUAGCGGGGGAUAACUAUUGGAAACGAUAGCUAAUACCGCAUAACAAUGGAUGACACAUGUCAUUUAUUUGAAAGGGGCAAUUGUUCCACUACAAGAUGGACCUGCGUUGUAUUAGCUAGUAGGUGAGGUAAUGGCUCACCUAGGCGACGAUACAUAGCCGACCUGAGAGGGUGAUCGGCCACACUGGGACUGAGACACGGCCCAGACUCCUACGGGAGGCAGCAGUAGGGAAUCUUCGGCAAUGGGGGCAACCCUGACCGAGCAACGCCGCGUGAGUGAAGAAGGUUUUCGGAUCGUAAAGCUCUGUUGUAAGUCAAGAACGGGUGUGAGAGUGGAAAGUUCACACUGUGACGGUAGCUUACCAGAAAGGGACGGCUAACUACGUGCCAGCAGCCGCGGUAAUACGUAGGUCCCGAGUGUUGUCCGGAUUUAUUGGGCGUAAAGCGAGCGCAGGCGGUUUGAUAAGUCUGAAGUUAAAGGCUGUGGCUCAACCAUAGUUCGCUUUGGAAACUGUCAAACUUGAGUGCAGAAGGGGAGAGUGGAAUUCCAUGUGUAGCGGUGAAAUGCGUAGAUAUAUGGAGGAACACCGGUGGCGAAAGCGGCUCUCUGGUCUGUAACUGACGCUGAGGCUCGAAAGCGUGGGGAGCGAACAGGAUUAGAUACCCUGGUAGUCCACGCCGUAAACGAUGAGUGCUAGGUGUUGGAUCCUUUCCGGGAUUCAGUGCCGCAGCUAACGCAUUAAGCACUCCGCCUGGGGAGUACGACCGCAAGGUUGAAACUCAAAGGAAUCGACGGGGGCCCGCACAAGCGGUGGAGCAUGUGGUUUAAUUCGAAGCAACGCGAAGAACCUUACCAGGUCUUGACAUCCCGAUGCUAUUUCUAGAGAUAGAAAGUUACUUCGGUACAUCGGUGACAGGUGGUGCAUGGUUGUCGUCAGCUCGUGUCGUGAGAUGUUGGGUUAAGUCCCGCAACGAGCGCAACCCCUAUUGUUAGUUGCCAUCAUUCAGUUGGGCACUCUAGCGAGACUGCCGGUAAUAAACCGGAGGAAGGUGGGGAUGACGUCAAAUCAUCAUGCCCCUUAUGACCUGGGCUACACACGUGCUACAAUGGUUGGUACAACGAGUUGCGAGUCGGUGACGGCGAGCUAAUCUCUUAAAGCCAAUCUCAGUUCGGAUUGUAGGCUGCAACUCGCCUACAUGAAGUCGGAAUCGCUAGUAAUCGCGGAUCAGCACGCCGCGGUGAAUACGUUCCCGGGCCUUGUACACACCGCCCGUCACACCACGAGAGUUUGUAACACCCGAAGUCGGUGAGGUAACCUUUUGGAGCCAGCAGCCUAAGGUGGGACAGAUGAUUGGGGUGAAGUCGUAACAAGGUA
rnacentral:rRNA from 1 species